AUUGAACGCUGGCGGAAUGCUUUACACAUGCAAGUCGAACGGCAGCACGGACUUCGGUCUGGUGGCGAGUGGCGAACGGGUGAGUAAUGUAUCGGAACGUGCCCAGUCGUGGGGGAUAACGUAGUGAAAAUUACGCUAAUACCGCAUACGAUCUAUGGAUGAAAGCGGGGGAUCGCAAGACCUCGCGCGAUUGGAGCGGCCGAUAUCAGAUUAGGUAGUUGGUGGGGUAAAGGCCCACCAAGCCAACGAUCUGUAGCUGGUCUGAGAGGACGACCAGGCACACGGGAACUGAGACACGGUCCAGAAUCCUACGGGAGGCAGCAGUGGGGAAUUUUGGACAAUGGGCGAAAGCCUGAUCCAGCCAUUCCGCGUGCAGGAUGAAGGACCUCGGGUUGUAAACUGCUCUUGUACAGAACGAAAAGGUUUCUACUAAUACUAGGAGCUCAUGACGGUACUGUAAGAAUAAGCACCGGCUAACUACGUGCCAGCAGCCGCAGUAA
rnacentral:rRNA from 1 species